rnacentral:lncRNA from 1 species
UGAAUUUAUGUGACUGCAAAAAGCUAAGGCGUCUACCCUCUAUGGAUGCAAUGUGGCGCCUCACCACACUAAAUAUUAUUGGUUGCCCAGAAUUAGUGAUUAAAAGUGAGGCAGCUGAUUCUCAAUGGCCCAAGGUUUCCCAUAUCCCACACAUCGCAAUUGAUGGCUUCGAAUACAUUGCCGGUGGCGGUGAGUAUCAAUACUUGUGCUUGUUUGUUUUAAUAGAAACAGUUACAUGUGCAUUUUAUUUGAAACAGUAAAAUCUAUUAUCUUAUGGAGUUUUUGAUUCAGUUGCUAUUAGUUUGGGGCUCCACUUCAUAUCAAUAUGCUUAAACAAUAGGAUAUUAAUUAUUUUGAGUUUACAUUUUUACAGCAAGUCGUCGAUUUAGAACGUGGAAACAUUUGUUGUUGAGGUGAAGGAUUAGGAUGUGAAGCAAGGGGAUGAAUGGCGAAGGAAUGAGUGAGUAUGCAUUUUCUCCAAGAUGAUCUUGCUCAACCUCUUUUUCUUAGUUUUUUUCUUGCUAAGAAUCGUCACAUUGUAAUUCCCUAUAUGUUCUUUGUUUGAACUUUUGUUGCCAGGAUUACUAUGUCGACGGUUGAAGAGGAUGCAUCUUUGGAUACCAAUUUGUUUCAGACAGAAAGCAAUCUCCACUUAUACUCAUGUUUUUAUAUUUCUGCAUAUUAUAUAUGGUUUUGUGCUAUGUUUUCCUCUUAUCUUUUGAUUGAGACUGUAAAUUGCAAAAUAAUUUCUUCAUUCUGGUUUAGCAUAAAGUGUUGAAAUAGCUUUCAUUUGCAUGGACUAUCAUUUUGAACAAUUAAUGCAGCUACGAGAAUACUUUAAGGUGUGAAUGGCUUAUACCUGUGGAAAAUGAUGUUGCUGUUAAGUGCUGAUAUGAUUCUCAAACUUU